rnacentral:lncRNA from 1 species
CAGCCAGGCUUUAAGGGAUAUAGAAAUGCAGUGCGAUUGUAAUAGGAUGUAAAUAAAUCUCCCUUUGGAUAAGUCACACAUACCAAAGAUCUGGAUGUGCUGAACACCAAAGGCCUUGGAACUUCCAAAUGGUUCAACAUCAGAAAUAGAUAUGGUUUAUUGGAUCAUAAUCUCCUUGAGGCUCCCUCCUUCCAUGCUAAGGAAUUUACUAACACAAAGCAAAGGCCAACGAGCCCAAAGGAAUAGCAGGCAAAGUCACGCCAGUGGGGACUCACUGGGAUAAGCCAGCUCUGGACACAAGAGGUUGGACUUUUCAUUUUGUUCUCCAUUCCUAUUUC